rnacentral:misc_RNA from 1 species
GAAAUGCGAUAAGUAAUGUGAAUUGCAGAGUUUUGUGAAUCAUCGAAUCUUUGAACGCACAUUGCGCCCCCCGGUAUUCCGGCGGGCAUGCCUGUCCGAGCGUCGUUGCAACCCAUCGAGUCACAUCUCGGUCUUGGGCGUCGCCCCACCCGGUGCGGAGGGGCGGGCCCCAAAGCCCUCGGCGGCCCCGAGCGCGCGCCGGUGCGUCUUCGAAUGCACCCGCUCCGGCGUCGCGCCCGCGGCCCGCCCGCGAAAUGCAGCAACAGAACGUCUGACCUCGGAGCAGGUAGGGCUACCCGCUGAACUUAAGC